CAGAGAAUAGUUUAAAAAAAAUAUUAAUUUUGGGGAUUGAAGAUGAAGGUUUAUUUUUCUCUGAA
rnacentral:tRNA from 1 species